rfam:Firmicutes bacterium CAG:83 genomic scaffold, scf118
AGCUGUCUUCGAGGCGGGGUGUGAUUCCCCACCGGCGGUAUAGUCCGCAAGCGGCGCAAGCUGCAUGAACCGGUGCGAUCCCGGUACCGACAGUAUAGUCUGGAUGAGAGAAGGCGUGU